UAGCUACCAUGGUUUGGUUUUGGCUAUGGUUAUUGCCAACUUUUAAAUCUUUCUUUUACUGAUUUUUUUUUGAAGUUUGAAAGUUUUGUUUUUGUUUAUGCACUAUCUUUAAUGUGCUACUAGUGGUGUAGUCAGCACUACAUGGAUUGCGUUGUAAGGUAUUGAAGGAGGGAAGGAAGAAAGAAAGCGAAUGUAAGGUCAGCAAUGAUUUUGUGAUACUAAUGGUCCCACUUAUCCUUCACCUAUAUCAUUUUCCUUUUUGUGAUUUUGUGAUUGUAAUUCCUUCUCGAUUCCGAGAGCAUGCCACUAGGCACUAGAGUGUCUUGUGUGUUUGCAACUUUGUAUACAAAAUAAAUAAUUGUACGGUGGAUUUUUUAACUGAUGUGAACCUUAUAUUGGGUGGAAUGGUGGUGUGUUACUACAAGAAUUGUAAAGCGUUUUUAUUUGCUUUAAUAAUAUUAUUCAUUUUGAUUUUUAACUGACGGCCAGUCGGCCAUAUUGCCGAUUUAUUGCCCAAACUAUCAGAAUACCGUCACUUCUCUUCCCCACUCACUAUUUUGCCACUCACUGUUGCUCUUCUUCACCUUUCUGAUCUACACUAACUAUCGCUGCGCGCUCACCAUCGUCGUCUCUGCGCUCAGCAUCGUCCUCUCUACACUCAUCAUCGUCGAGAAGGUGAACUCGUACCCAAAUGUUCAAGGAUUUACUGUAAUAAGAAAUGGAGGUGAGGACUUCGUGCAAUCAAUGGUUGUUGUCAUGGAAUCUGUAAUCUAACAGGCCAUUCCCAUAGCAUAGGCCAAAUAGUAAACUGAAUUCCUUUGUUCAAUCUAUACCCAUCUGGAAGUAUGUCACAUUCUUUAAUCUUAUGUUGGCUAUUGACAAGCAUGUAUUCAUGAAUCUUGAUACAAGUUUCAUAUUAUAGUCACGACUAGCACACUUCUCAAUAACCUUGUCCUUAUGUGGAAUGUGAAUUUUCUGCUUGAGAUUUCUCUAUUUUUUAUUGAAUGGUCAAUUUUUUAUUGAUAGGUGAUGAGUGUCAGUUUUUCACAGGUAUGGAGAUAUGUUCUUUUUGGGUACUGUUGAUGCUAAGGGAAUUUUCUUUACUCUGUAUUUUUUGUAAGUUGUCUGGUUUUAGGCACCACUUGACAGUGGCAUGUUGCUAGUUGCAUAUUUGCUGAAAUUGAAUGUUUUUAUUCUUUGAAACAUUCUAAAGCUCUAUUUUUGAAUGAUUGGAACUGAUAUUACUAUAUUGAAGGAAAUAGGAGAAAAAGAAGGCAAGUAUUAUGCCAUACAUGACUCUAGCUUUACCUGACUUUUUAAGACUACCAUCUCUAAAGUAGUGAAAACAUAUCAACCUGGUGCAAUAGUUCUCCAGUGUGGAGCUGAUUCAUUUGCUGGAGAUCGUCCGGACUGCUUCAAUCUCUCUCUUGAUGGUGCAUAUCUCCCGGUCAUGCUGAAUGUGUCAAAUUCAUAAAGAAAUUCAAUUUGCCCUUGCUGGUCACUGGAGGUGGGGGGAUACACAAAAGAAAAUGUUGCUCGGUGUUGGGCUAUUGAAACUAGAGUUUUCCUAGAUACAGAGCUAGUGGGCACAUCUUGUUGUUGAUUGGAGAUUCGAAAUGUUUGUGAGAGCGAAGAGAAGAGGAGAGAAGAUGUUGAGAAUUAAGAGAGUUCCCACUGCUGUUUCGAAUUAUCAAAAAAGAGGAGGGGGAGAGACUACUCACCCUGUUGGAGGAUGGGUCACAGUUGCCUAAAAACUGCUGCAUUUAAGGAUAACAUUGGCUAAAGGAAUUUAAGAUGCUGAUGAUAAUGACGGAUUUCUUUGAAUGUUAUGGCUUGUAAUCACCAACAGUGAUUUUUGGGUAUUGGUGUUUAUGACGUAGGGUCUUUGAAUUUUUAUUUUUUAUGUGGUUAUUGAUAGAUAUCUUUAGAUAGUUUGUCUAUUUUUAUAUAGAAAUGUUUAUUUUGGUGAUGACAUUUUUAAAUAUGUACAUGAAAGAGUCUAACAGCGAAAACAACACAAAUAUCCAAUACAAGAAUAAUAUGGAAGCACUCACAACACAAUAUGAUAGCAACUAU